CAGCCGCCGCGGGAAUACGUAGGGUGCGAGCGUUAAUCGGAAUUACUGGGCGUAAAGCGUGCGCAGGCGGUUUGUUAAGUCAGAUGUGAAAUCCCCGAGCCUAACUUGGGAACUGCAUUUGAAACUGGCAAGCUAGAGUCUUGUAGAGGGGGGUAGAAUUCCAGGUGUAGCGGUGAAAUGCGUAGAGAUCUGGAGGAAUACCGGUGGCGAAGGCGGCCCCCUGGACAAAGACUGACGCUCAGGUGCGAAAGCGUGGGGAGCAAACAGGAUUAGAUACCCCAGUAGUCCCUGUCUCUUAUAC
rnacentral:rRNA from 1 species